AGAAGAGCUGGCCAAGACCUGGUCCCAGCAGUUUGAGGAGAGCACCUCAGUGGUCACUUCACAGUUUGCUGAGGUUAGAGCUGGUAAGA
rnacentral:pre_miRNA from 1 species